AAUUUAUUGAUGAUAACAACAUUGAAUAACUCAUUUUAUCGUUGUCUUCUUGAAGAAUCGACUGGGAGAAUUAAGCUAAGGAAUAUAUUCGUUCUUCAGUACACUGUUCAGCUAAGACAUGGUAACCUUAAAAGCUGGCGAUCGUGUGCAGAAUAUCUCAGGAACUCACGCAUGUUUGCCAAGGGGUUUUGGCUCUUGGAAGAAGUAUUAUGUCGACGAUGGCGAGCGUGAAUGGCCAAAUACCUGUCGCGUCAGUUACUGCGAGGAGCACGCGAAAGGAGGCGCUCAUGUGCACGUAGCAGGGAAACCAGGUGUUUUCAUUGUACCCAUGUGUGAGCACCACAAUACAGCUCAAAAUAAGGAUUGGUUAUCUGUGAAGAGAGGCACCAAGGCUGUGCUUGUUAACAUGGAAGACACAUCUGGACCAUCUGGUAUCUGUUUCAGUGGUUGCAAGCGUCGAUAAACUUCGAUCGACGGUCAAUGAAUGAUAAUAUGAAAUUGCAGAUUUUGUUUUUUUUUCAGUACAAUUUAUAGAACAAAUCAUGUUCUGUGUAUAUAAUAUACGAAUAACUUUGUGUUUCGACUAUAUAUCACCAAAUUUAAUGUGGUUGGAGUAUAGCGUAAGUUGAUUUUUGCUGUGCCCAACUCAGCUUCAUUAUGGAUGUAAUAUCACCAGUCCAACAAUGAAGUAAAAUAGCACAUAUAAUAUAUUAUCAAUAAUCACUAAUCAUCAUCAAUAAUCAUCAAUAAUAUUAUCAAUAAUCACGAAUUGCGACAUUUAGUUUGUAAUAUUCCCUGUAACAUUCAGCAUAACUAAUCGCGUCUGGCAGAACAGUAUAUCUCUUGUCACUUCGAGUCAGUCAGUUUUAAUGUCGGAGCCGACACCGCGCGGAAAGUAAUCGUGAAGUAUUGCGAAAUAAUAUUACGAAGUGUAUCAAAGUAUGACGUAAUGCAAUCCAGGCCUUAUGUUAGCGUGGUUUUCCAGGAAGCACUUAGGCGGUUGAAGUAUAUCGAUCGGUUAGCGUGGGCAUAAGAUAAAAACGUGCUAUUUGUGAUAUUAAAUUGUGAUAUGACUUUA